rnacentral:rRNA from 1 species
UACGGACGAGUCGAGCGUUAUCCGGAAUUAUUGGGCGUAAAGCGUCCGUAGGUGGUUGACCAAGUCUGCUGUCAAAGGGUGGGGCUUAACCUCAUAAAGGCAGUGGAAACUGGUGAGCUAGAGUGCGGUAGGGGUAAGGGGAAUUCCCAGUGUAGCGGUGAAAUGCGUAGAGAUUGGGAAGAACAUCGGUGGCGAAAGCGCCUUGCUGGGCCUGAACUGACACUGAGGGACGAAAGCUAGGGGAGCGAAAGGG